AUAGGAAGAGGGGUGAGAUUAAAUAAUCCCAGUGAGUAAACAAUUACCAUCAAAAGCAUCUAAAGCUGAGUAGAUGGAGACAAUAUAAAAACGUUAUAUCUCAAUAAUGUUCAUAACACAAAAUUCGUUUCAAUCUAUACCAAACAAUUUCUUUUCAUCAAAAUUUCCCGGCUUAUGAAUUUCUUAAACUUGGCCCCUGCCAGAAUCAUUCUCGCGGGUACCUUCGUCAAGGUAUCCCACUGAAACCGCCAAGGCUGUUCAAUGACCCAUACCAAUAAACAUGUUUUCACAUCUAACACACAGCCGUUCCUUGGCGUUGGCUGAGUCUCACUCUCACGUGGUGGCUUGAACAUGAGGUGCACUCAAAUCAUACCUCAGGAGAUACUUCACCCAACAUCUCCCCCCCGGAGGUAAGUAUAUAAUUGGGUUACCGUGCCCCUCUCAUAAGCAAUCCAUGGAAACCCCCACUACUGCAGUGACCGUUUAAUAUACCACCAGACCCAUAAAAAUUCCAAUAGCAUAAUAUGGCAAAUAAAAUGUAAUUCAGUCUACCGAGACCAAUCCAAAACUACUCAUAUAUUUCAUGCCAACCCCAAAAAUUUAGCCAUCAUGCUACCAUAGUGUCAUAAGCCACAAUUUCAAUAACAUAUAAAAUCAUAAAUUUCAACACAGUCUCCAUAUACUCAAUUUUUCCAAAAUAAUAUUUGAUUUCAAAACCAAUAUAAAUCUCAUUUUUAUUAAAAAACAUUUUAAUUAGAAAACAUAAUAUUUUAUAAUUUAA
rnacentral:lncRNA from 1 species